rnacentral:snRNA from 1 species
AGACAUCUGACGGGGGAGACGCCAUGAUGACAAAGGUAGUUUGUCCAGGGUGAUGAGCUGACCCCUGUGAUUUUCCCCAAAUUCUGGAAGCCCAGCUGCAUAAUCUGUGGUAGUGGGGGUGGUGCUUACAUUCUCCUCUG